AUUCGCCUCGUGCGCUAUCAAGCAGGACAAGACUCUCAGGUGGUGUCACAGAUCUUAUUCGGGGAGUUUCUGCCUUCAUGAUGUCCGGCACUGGACGUGCCGUGUGUAUACUGACCACACUGGCCAUCGCAUCUCUGCAGGAAAGCAUGGGGUUCAGCAACAAUAGAACCACCAGUUUCUCAAAGGUACACAAUCAAGCAGUAUCUCCAGUUGACACCAACGUGGGUUAUGGAAAAGAUGUUGAGGGUGACAUGGAUUAUGCUGGCGGAGGAAUAAUUACAAUGAAGCAUGGUAAAGGGGGACUGGCUGGAGUAAUGGGCGGAGGAGGUCGUGGAAGACAUGGGGGCGAUGGAGGAAGAGA